AAAUUCGAUUAACGGAAGACCUUUACCCAGGUUUGACCAGCGAGUGACAAACUACGAAAGUGGUCUUCCGCAAGGACACUCGUAGAGGUGCUGCAUGGCUGUCGUCAGCUCGUGUCGUGAGAUGUUGGGUUAAGUCCCGCAACGAGCGCAACCCUUGUCUUCUGUUGCCAUCAAGUUAAGUUGGGCACUCUGGAGAGACUGCCGGUGAUAAACCGGAGGAAGGUGGGGAUGACGUCAAGUCAGCAUGGCCUUUAUGUCUGGGGCUACACACGUGCUACAAUGGCCGGCACAAACCGUCGCAAAACCGCGAGGUGGAGCUAAUCGGAUAAAGUCGGUCUCAGUUCGGAUAGCAGGCUGCAACUCGCCUGCUUGAAGUUGGAAUCGCUAGUAAUCGCGGAUCAGCACGCCGCGGUGAAUACGUUCCCGGGCCUUGUCACACCGAAUCACUA
rnacentral:rRNA from 1 species